rnacentral:misc_RNA from 1 species
GAUGAAGAACGUAUCGAAAUGCGAUAAGUAAUGUGAAUUGCAGAAUUCAGUGAAUCAUCGAAUCUUUGAACGCACAUUGCGCCCGCCAGUAUUCUGGCGGGCAUGCCUGUCUGAGCGUCAUUUCAACCCUCAUGCCCCUAGGGCGUGGUGUUGGGGAUCGGCCAAAGCCCGCGAGGGACGGCCGGCCCCUAAAUCUAGUGGCGGACCCGUCGUGGCCUCCUCUGCGAAGUAGUGAUAUUCCGCAUCGGAGAGCGAUGAGCCCCUGCCGUUAAACCCCCAACUUUCCAAGGUUGACCUCAGAUCAGGUAGGAAUACCCGCUGAACUUAAGCAUAUCAAUAAGCGGAGGA